ACGAGGAAUUCGCCCACGCAGGAGGCGCGGCGUCCGGAGGCCCCAGGGUUAUGAGACUAUCACUGCUCAGGACCUACUAACAACAAAGAUUUAAUUAAGAUAUAAGAUGUAAAUUGAUACAAGUUCAUGCUGGAUUACGGUGGGCCCUAAAUCCAAUCACUGAUGUCCUGAUAAGAAGCAGACAGAACACACAGACACACAGCAUACAGGAAGAAUGGCAUGUGAAGGCAAAGACAGAGACUGGAGUGAUGUGUCUACAAAUCAAGGGGCCCCAAGGAUUUGGGGCCCACAUCAGAAGCUGGGAAAGAGACAGGAAUUCUCAGCUUCUCCUUCUGAAUCCCUAAGAAGGAAUCAACCCUGCUGACACCUUGAUUUUAAACUUCUUGUCUCCAGAACUGUAAUAUAAUACAUUUCUGUUGUCUUAAGCUACCCAGUUGCUGGUGAUUUGUUAUGGCAGCCCUAGGAAACUGAUAGGUAUACUAAAAUCUCUAAUGAAUUGAUGUUAAAUAUAUAUAAGUAUAGGAGAGUUCAUUUAAAUUCUUCUGAAAAUGUCUUCUUAAACUUUUAAUGAUACAGUAUAUAACAACCAGUAUACGUAGUUGGUAUCGGGUUUGACAUUUAAACAAGCUGACAAAAAACAGCUGUUUAAUAAACAUCUGAAUUAUAUAAAAGUUUUAUUGUUUAUUAUUCAUGUGAAUGACUUAAACUGACAUCUACAUUUAGUGAAGUGUGAAUGGGCCUAGCCAAUAAACUAUGGGUAAUUUUUUUAAAGUCUCAUCUUUGAACUCACAAAAAAUUAUCAAAUAUCAGCUAUUAUGUAUUCUUCAUGUGAAGAAAAUGUCAUAUUUAUUUGAUUUGUGGAUUAGCAUAUAUAUUAAUAGAGCUUUUGAAAGAACAAAUGUAGCACUUUCCCGAUUUCAUAGACACUCAUUUAACACACAAGUUCAUAUUUUAAAGUACAUAAUUUUAAAAAAAUUCUAGUCCAAAUGAAUUUAAGUGCCAUGACUUCUAAAAAUUCUGUCUCUAUUUUUGGGUUUUAUAGGACCUUGAGCCAGUACUCUUCUGGUGAGCUUAAGAGGCUAAGACUUCACCUUUAGUUAUAUGGGGCUUUCAUCUGAUUAUUUGUCUAUUUUGAUUGCUCUAAAUACAAGUUAGUGUGUAUUUCAUCUGAAUGUAUUUCAUUAUAAGUUUUGGUUUUAUGUAGAUCUGGGGAUCUGUCUUGUUUUUAAUCUUGAUUGGUCUGUUUGUUUUGGGAUAGUUGGUACUUUCAUUUCUUAUGCUUGCUUUCUUUUUCAUUUUGUGCCCACCUUUAGUCAGGUGAACAUCAGUAAGGAAUAAAAUUUUAUUUUUUUAAGCCACUGAAAAAAUUUAAAAACCACAUCAUAACUCUGCCUCUGCUGACUGAUAAAAAUGCUAACUUAUUAAGACAAAAUGUUAUGCAAGAAGACUUUAUUGGAAUAGAGAAACAUCCUUUUUAUGUAAGAAAUAUCAACAGAGACAUGUGCCUUUCUUGUGACAAAUGUGGUAUGUGUGUGGAUUAGAGGUCUGGAAUGUGGCAGCAUUUCAGUACUUGGAGGGGAGAAUUAGAGUAGGGUAGAAAGAUAGACGGGGAGCAGAGGAUGAUUCUCACCCAGUAGAAAGCAGAGUGAAGAAAGAAAGGGGAAUUGUUUUUUGCAUUAUAUUAUUUGAACUGUGGAUUAAGUCUUUCCAUAAGCCAUCCCUACGCCUCUAAGUAGGUUUUAUUAACUUAAGCUGGUUUGAGAUGGGUUUUUGGUCACACACAAGAAUUGCCUGAUACAAGAGAGGCUUUGAUUUUGUUGUUGCUUGCUCAUUUUUAUACACUAAGAUGGAGAAAACCCUGGACAUAGUGAAGACGAAAUUGAGGAAGGUGUUGGGUAGAGUGGAGGGUAGAAGACCUGUAACAUAGGUACAGAAUUACAUUAAACUGGAAGGACUUAUAUCCAGAUAUAGGAGUCAGGGUAGAAAGAGAGAAUGUUAGCAGUAAGGGUAACAGAGUAGCAGAAGUUUAUUCUUACCAGGUCCUGUUAUGUGACAGUGGAGGCAUGUUGACCUUCUGACUAGGGGAGUUAAAGGAGAACACUGAAGGUUUAGAAUAAUGUCUCUAAGGAUAGAAAGAGAAAGUUUCAUCAAGACUCAUCAAUAAUAGGGCAGCAGGGCUUAGGGCCAAGCAAAUUCAGAGACCAUGAUAUUAUAGUAGUUUGUAGUGGUCUUAAUCCAUCUAAUUUUUCAGCAUUUUCUCAAUGGCCAAUACUUAGCAGUGGUAGUGUUUUAUGGCAUUUGGACAACAGAAGUGAAAGCACUGGUAAGAGAGACGUUGAAGUGAAACACCAUGGGGCUCAGAAAAGCAGAGUUGAUCCAUCUGGUACAUGGGCAAGGAUGGUCCUGAACAAUUCUGCAGUAAGUUGGAAGAUAGAAAAAAUACCUAACGAACUUGUAGAUCUGGGUAAGGAGAUUUUUGGCAGAAUAUUGUAAGGCUAAUUGGCUUCUCUUAACUAUAUGAGAUAGGGUUUUACAAGGGAGAGAUAAGCGAGCAUAAUUUAGAAGAACUAUAGGGGGUCCCAGGCAGACUCUCUGGCUGGAAAAUUAUUCUGAUAGCAAGAAAUUAGCCCCAAAGCAAAGAUGAAAAGUAGGGUACUUCCAAUUAAACAUGUCAUAAGGGCAAGCCUCAAUCAAGAGUGUGGC